ensembl:lncRNA
GUUUUUUUCUCUGUGUUUUUGGUCCUGUUAUUUGAGUAUUUAGUGAUGUCAUGGGGAGUAGGUGUGGAUACACUGGUUGUACACGUAACAGAACCAUCACACAUUUCAAGCCUCCCCCUGUCUGUCCACACACACACACACACGCACCUAGGAGAAAAACUGAUCUGCCUAGUCCUAAUCCAUGGUUUGAUAAUCCCUACGACGUGGGCUAUUGUUUUUCUAUUCUAGAGGUCUCAAAGCGUUUAUUGACGGGUCUGUUUGGGUGUCAGCAGCUAGCCCCCUGCUCCUCCUCCUGAGCCACAGCAUUCCAGGGUGCAUCUGGUUCCAGUUCCCAGCCCCCCCUCCAGCCCCCCUCUUGGGCAGACUCCCUCCCGCUGCUCCUCCAGUGAAGGCCCAGCCCUUGGGGUCGCUCCUGUGAACAGUUCCUUCUCUGGCCUUCAGAAUAACUGGUCAACAGAGCCGGACUCCAGUGGAGGCCCGGCCCUAUUGGUCGCUCCUGUGAACAGUUCCUUCUAUGGCUCUCAGCAGUGACUCACGCUGCUGUCCACACACAGGAAGACGGCCAGCGGGUCACUUCCUGUGUCUGAACAGCGGAUGCGGCUGAGCUGGCGAGCGCAUGUGUGGGCUAGUAGAGCGAUCCCACGAGAAACACAGAGAGAGAGAGACAGAGAGAGGAGGGGGACAAGUUAGGAGAGAGAGACACACACACAAAAACAUUUGGACAAACACACACACACACACACACACAGAUUCAGAGGAACAAACACACACACACACACACACACACACACACACAGACUCUUCCUCCCCGCCCCC